UCGAGGAUCUUCGGCAAUGGGCGCAAGCCUGACCGAGCGACGCCGCGUGCGGGAUGAAGGCCUUCGGGUCGUAAACCGCUGUCAGGGGGGAGGAAAGCCCGCAAGGGUCUGACCUAGCCCCAGAGGAAGCACGGGCUAAGUUCGUGCCAGCAGCCGCGGUAAGACGAACCGUGCAAACGUUGUUCGGAAUCACUGGGCUUAAAGGGCGCGUAGGCGGCUCGCCAAGUCCGGGGUGAAAGCUUUCGGCUCAACCGGAAAAGGGCCCUGGAUACUGGCGGGCUGGAGGGAGGUAGGGGCAUGUGGAACUUCCGGUGGAGCGGUGAAAUGCGUUGAGAUCGGAAGGAACGCCGGUGGCGAAAGCGACGUGCUGGACCUCUUCUGACGCUGAGGCGCGAAAGCCAGGGGAGCAAACGG
rnacentral:rRNA from 1 species